rnacentral:rRNA from 1 species
AUGUUAGCGGCGGACGGGUGAGUAACACGUGGGUAACCUGCCUGUAAGACUGGAAUAACUCCGGGAAACCGGAGCUAAUACCGGAUAGUUCCUUGAACCGCAUGGUUCAAGGAUGAAAGACGGUUUCGGCUGUCACUUACAGAUGGACCCGCGGCGCAUUAGCUAGUUGGUGGGGUAAUGACUCACCAAGGCGACGAUGCGUAGCCCACCUGAGAGGGUGAUCGGCCACACUGGGACUGACACACGGCCCAAACUCCUACGGGAGGUGGCAGUAGGGAAUCUUCCGCAAUGGACGAAAGUCUGAGGGAGCAACGCCGCGUGAGUGAUGAAGGUUUUCGGAUCGUAAAGCUCUGUUGUUAGGGAAGAACAAGUGCGAGAGUAACUGCUCGCACCUUGACGCUACGUAACCAGAUGCCACGGCUAACUACGUGCCAGCAGCCG